CCAUCUGAAUAGCACACACGCACACACGCACAUCCUAUGUAUAUCUUUUAGGAGUCGGUGGCACUGUACUAGUAAAGCGCAGGCACAUUUUUUUUUUGGCACCCCCGCCCCUUCCUUGCCUCAGCUGUCGCAUUCUUUUAGCUGUGCGACGCGCACGCUUUCCAGUUAGUCCAUCAGCGACCACUACACCAUACCACUCCCUUCCUCUCGUGCCCUCUCAACUGCCCCUCCGUGCUUCCUUCGAAGAAACGAACAAAACACACACACACACACAGACAGAAGUCACCAGACAACUCUCUGCUGCUCUCGAAGCACCUACGAGGGGGGGGGGGUCGCUCGCGUCGGCGAGAAAACGAGAGAAAGGGGCAGGCGCGCGUCCAAAACGUCAGAGACGCAAACACCCACACAAACACGCCCAUACAUACAGUAGGUACGAAAGGACCGCUCAAACAAAACCCCCUUCCCCCUCUUUCCCCCUCCAAAAAAAAAAACAGUAUUUGCCGAUUUCGCGUCCAACAGCUGCUGCACGCUCUCUCUCUGUUUUUUUUUCUUCUUUGAUGCUGCGUCGCUUUAUUCGCUCCUCUUCGCCCACGCCCUCCUCCUCCCAUUCUUUUGUUUUCCGUGACAUCUGUUCGACGCAUCUAUUCCUUUUUUUUUGCUGUUUUGCUUUACUCUUACUUCUUCUUUCCCUCUUCUCUUGCGGGUCGCUUACGAGUUAGGUAAAGAGCGCAUCCUCAUUCUUUUGGUUCUCUGUCUUUCCACUUUUUCUCUGUUUUCCCCCUUUUCGCUUUUCGCGCCGUUGCGUCACUCAUUACUGCUGCGCUCCCUUUUUCCAGUCGAGGAGUCCUCAUUCUUUCACACGCGCACAUAUAUUCAUCAACGCGCAACCACCUCCUCAGGCGACGGAAGCGGUUGCGGCGACUUUCUUCUUCGCCUGCUUUUUGUUUUCGAUUCUGGAACUAUUAUAAUAUAUAUGUAUACAUUUCUUUGGCACCUUUCCUUUGGCUUUCCUCUUCUCCUGCGCUCAGCGAGAGAGCCCCCAAAAGCGGAAAGGAGGCUCGACGUAUCGCGGAUGCGUCUUUCGUGCGCUGCUGGUUUCUUUUUGCUUUUGAGGGGAGGCUGCUUUGCUGUUGUGGGUGUUUGCUUGUCUCUCUAGUAUCUGAGAGCUCGUGCGUGGGCACCUGAGCUCACACAUCUUUUUUUCCCGUUUUAUCGUAAUUGCGCCCUUUUUUCACUUCUGGUCUUUUUUGUGUUUCCGUGUUUUCUUUUUUUACGCGCGUGCGUAUUGUUUUUGUCUCCCGUGCAUGCGUGUUUCACCUUCCCAUUUCCGCUUUCCUUCUGUGCAACCUAAAAGAAUCCCCCUCUCGUUCAUUCCUCGCUCUAGUUCUCUCCCUUCAGCCUGAAUCGUCGUUGUUCUUUGUGCUUGUGUGCUUGACGUCUCGCCAGGUUGGAUGAAGCGGCAAGAUCUCCCCCAGAAAAGAAAGGAGAUCGAUCGCUUCACCUGCACACCUACAAACCGAGAACCAAGUGUCGCGCAGACGUAAACAAACACGAGUACACCGUGGUGAAGGUUGUUGUGGCGAGGCGGCGCAUCUCGUACAUCUAUAUUCUUUGUUGUUGUGAGCAAGUCUAAGUGCAAGCCGUGGAGAGAGGCUUUCGACCUGUUUUGAGCUGUGCUACAGCGGCCUGCGUGUGCGUGUGUGUGUGUGUGCGUCACUUGCCCGUCACCCUAUCUCGCUGCCGUGGCACGAGAAAAAAGCGGAGAACACACGCCUUGCUGCUUUGCUGGGCUGCGAGUGCAGCCGCAAGAAAGAGAGCGAGCGAGCGAGAGAGAGAGAGAGUAAAGCUAGAGGUGCAGAGAAGAGGAAAGAAGACGAAACAAGCAAGCCGAGCUUACUGCCCGGUUCGUCGAAAAGCUGUGUUGUGUGUGUUGUGUAUUGUGCUUUCGGUUUUCCUGCUCCAGAUCGGGGUGUAACGCCGUUUGCGUGGCUCCUUUUUUUUCUUUUUCUUCGUCUUUUGCCUUUUUCUGUAAGAUAUUUGCGGCACGCUUGGGGCUCAUUUCUUUUGUGGUUUUCAUUUCUUUCAUCGCCGCGCCCUCACCAUCUUGUUCUCCCGAUCGCGUCUCUCAGGUGUACGUCAUCUCGCAUCGGUCAACUCGGGGCUGUGAAGGAGAACGGGCACCCCUAGGAGGUAUCUCGCCUCUUCUGUCGUUGCGUUCUUUUCCGAUUCCCUUAUCCUUUUCCUUUUAAGGGCGACUCUUUCGGACCGCGUUUUCUUUCCCUCAGUCGAAUGAUCACCUCACGAGGCAAGGCGAGUGGCCAUGUCAAGCCGUCUUCGCCGGCCUCGGCGAAGGAUGCAGCCCCAUUCUUCGCUGCCGCCCCCACGGCAGUCACCGCCUCCAAAACAUCUUACUCGAGGAACGAUGGGCACAACCCCCUCAUCAAUGAUCUAUUAAAGGAUCUUGACAAGAACUCUUCUCCUGAGGACGUCCACGGUGCUGGCCACGUGCAAGAGCAGAGCGUCAGCAAUGCUAAUAGCUUUUCGAACUUCGACCUACAGCUGCGGCGGCCCAGCGAGGAAUCGACGGCGAGUUGCCGUAGCAGCGCCCGAAACCGUGACAAGACAGCCACGGAUAUUCUCUGCAAGACUGGUCAGCACUUUGUGCACGCCAUGCGGAUGCACAACCUGGAGGAUUUCUUCUGCCCUGCUCACGGUGAGAGCGCCGAGGACGUGCUGCGACGCCAGCUGCGCAAGAAAGAUCAAGAGGAGGUGGAGGCAGUGGUGCUCACGUUAGUGGAGCUGCUCGAGGAGGUGCGCAAGGCAAGGGGCCAAUUAGUGCCGCUCGCCGGCUCGCUCUCGUUGCUCGACACGUCGGGGCGAAAGCGUACCUCCUUCAAUAGCAUGCACUCCGCAGUGAGCACGGCUAGCCUCAUGCGGCCACCGGUGCAUGAGACGAAUCAGCUCGCCAUGGCGUACGAUCAGCAGGGAAACCGCAUGAUUAACUGCUAUAGGGUGAUCGCGAAUCUAGGACGUGGCGCGUACGGCAAAGUGAAGCUUGGAGUCGACACCAACACCGGCCAGAUGGUAGCCAUCAAAAUAAUUGACAAGAAGCUUCUCAAGAGGAUCGGUGGCCUGGGCAGCAGCAACCAGGAGGCGGCGCUGAAGCGCGAGAUCGCCAUCAUGAAGAAAGUGCGCCACCGGAACUGCGUAUCUCUAUACGAGGUUAUCGACGACCCUGAUUCGCACAUACUCUACCUAAUUAUGGAGUAUGUGCCAAACGGGCCCGUUGUUCGGCUGAAACCGCAGGAGCUCAGCAGCACUGCCCUGGAGUCUAUCGAGGCCGGCAUUCCGCUGAACGGAGAGGUCUGCAACAAGGCCCUGAUACGUUGCGCGGUGCGGCAGUCCGCCAACGGCGAUACUGCGUCCCUCACCGACGCGGAGAUCAACAGUAAUCCGACGAUUUUCCUGUGUAAGCCGCUUAGCCAGCACAUCUGUGCGCUGUACCUGCGCCAACUUGUGAGUGGACUGCGAUAUAUGCACAAGCGAAACCUCGUUCACCACGACAUCAAGCCGGACAAUAUAUUGGUUGGCACCAACCAUCACGUUUUUCUCAGCGACUUUGGUGUUAGCGAGAUCCUCUCCACUCGGCAUGAGGUGAAAAAUGCUGUGAAGAAAAACCGUGGCAGCAUGAGCGACGACCUCAUUAGCGAACACUCCUUCGAAUCCGACGGUAGUGAUUCGACCAAUGAUGAUGGCGUUGGCAGCAAACCUCGCCUGGGCGGUGGCACGCUCCUCUUCACCGCGCCGGAGCUGUUUGACAGCUCGGUGAAUAAAAAAUUGCUGGAUCCCCACCUGACCGACGUCUGGGCGCUCGGCGUCACGCUCUACUGCAUGCUAGUUGGCAUGUCCCCGUUUUUUGGUAACACGUACGCCGAUGUGCGCGCAAACAUCCUGACGCAGAGGUACCCGUGGUGCGGCAAGACGAUUUACGGGACGCUGCUGGCGGCGGAGUGGCGGGUCGUGCUGAACGGGCUGCUGGCCAAGAACCCGAACAAUCGCUGGUCGCUGGCGCGGCUCAAGUCGUUCCUCGACCAGCACAGCUUCCAGUACGCCAUGCGGCAGAGUGCGUUCCUCGAGGCAUCGACGCGGACUCGUUCCUUGACCUCCGUGGACGGCGACGCAUCCCCCUCCACUUCCACAGCGCAGCGCGCCGCCGGCUUGGCAGCGUCGUCGACCGGGACGUUUGCCAAGGGACUCAAGCUGCCGCUCGCGUGUAGUUCAGUGGCGAAGGACAAGAACGCCUCUAUCCUUCUCCCUCGCGUGGUUUCUUCUCCUAGGGCCGUUUCCGCCUUGUCAAUGGAGGCGGGCGGCGCUGCUCGCAGCUUCCUGUGGGACCUUGGCGUCUCGGAGAAGGAGGUACGAGGUGCCACGCGAACGGUGAAGGUCGAGGUGGUGCGGCAGACGACCGUCCUCUCGGCGCACACGCGCACCAUUGUGCGCCGCUACGUCGAAUGGAUUCGCGCAUGCAUGCACGCUCGGAACUUCAUUCCACUGGGCUGCGCGCCCCCUUUAAGCAGAAAGUCGCUCGUCGGCUCCCUGGUCUCCAUGCAGAUGUGCGCUGACGCCAACAAGAGCAGCAAGACGUUGACCGCCAGCCGCGAAAAGGCACAUGUGACGCACGUCCCUGUCCUCGCUGUGGCGGCAAGGUGCCACCGAACCAGCGAGGCCGGCCCCAUAGGCACUAGAUCUUCCUUGUUUCCUCCGCGGAGGAGCCCCCAUUCACCGGCGGGAGAUACUCGCAAGGGGAGGCAACGGAGCGGCAGCCGCAGCAGCAAUGACGGCGGUGGCCGCGCGCUCACUCGCGGCAGCCUGGAAAGCCGCGCCUCGGACGGCAGAUUACAGUCGCUGGAUGCUGCCCUCUCAAUAGUGAACUUGCAAAGCACCUUCGAUGAGCACUCCCUCACCUUUAGCUUGACGUCAUCGAGUGCCUCCUCGCAGGCUUCCUUUUCGUCGCAGCACGGAUACAGUGGGCAGCAACCUGGCAGGGAAACCCGCACCAAUAACGGCAUCCUGGCGGGCAACUUGGCAACUCCGAGCGAGGAUACGCCGGCGCCCAGAAACGGGAUGGCCGAAAAAGUCAGUUGGUGUAAUGCACAGAUGCCAUCGACGGUCGCGCAGACGAUGGUGCCCAGCAGCGCGACGCCUUCAUCUAUUGCGGAGGAGGACAGCCGAAAAAGGGUGGGCGCAAAAGGCAGCAAGAGCCGGUUCCAGCAAUUCAUGCGCCGCAAGAAAACACCGAGCGGCGCCUCCGUCAGUGAUGACCUCACCUCUUACCAAUCCACGUUUGCACCCAAGUCAAAUUCUGCGGUGUCGCCGCUACUCGAUUCGGUUCUCUGUAGUGGCAUCAGCGGCUUGGGAGACAGCAACUCAGCUGGGUGCUGUAGUACACACCAUAACCCGAAGACUGUCAGCACGACUGACCGUUGUCUUGCCGCGCCACCAGACGAGCACCUCUCGGUGGUGCAGUCUCCAGGCUCGGUGGGCAACAAACACCCCGUAGGGCCGAUGCAGGAGCGCCUUUCUGACGGUAAACUGGCUGUUCUGGCCUUGACAUCCUUUGAGCAGGUGCCGCACGUCACAGUCUCGAAGCGGCUUUCCUCCGUUUUUCGGAAAUGAGAUCGACAGUCAUAGAAGAGCAGAGAGGGGGAGGGGCAGAGACCAUACGGAGGGAACGGGAAGAACAAAAAAGACGCAGGGAAAGCGGCGGUGCUCUUUUUCACCGACCGGAAUGCAAGAGAGCCGAAGGCAGACUUGUUCGAUGUAUCAAUCAAGACUGCAGCCAUGUGAUCCUCAUCACGUGGAUAAGCGCACGUUUCUUGUACUCUCAGUUCGUGUUGGGUGAGGUAAGCCUGUAGUGUAAGGCAUGCCAUUCCCCCCUAACGCUCUGCUUUGAGUUUCCUUUGUGUGCUCCUCUUCCGCAUCACGCGACUUCAGCUCCGUGAAGACCAGCUGUGGAUGAGGGGCACCCCUUCACAUGUCUCAAGAUGUUACUAUGUUCUGUUACAAUUUUUCUUUUCGCGCGUCGAGGAGUUUUUCCCUUUUCGGUCUUGCGGCACUCUUGAAGAGUUGUAGAUACUUCACGUUUCGCUCCAUCUCGCUGUCUCUCUACCCGUAAGUCUGCCCCCCCCCUUCUAGGACGCAACAUCGAACCAUGCGCACGCCUCCUCUCUUACCACAGCAUCUCCCCUCUUUUUUUGUGUUGAGCACUCUUCGUUUUUUUUUGUUCUGCCUUUCCGACCUUUUCCUCUCUUCAUCUUCAUCGUAGUCCGCCAUUUUUUGUUUUGAUUUUUGUUCUUCUGGUCUCUUUCCGCUUUUUUUGUUUGGUAUUGUUCUUUUUUUUCUUGUGGUGUUCUUAUGUUGGUCUUUUGGACUCUGCCUGGAAGCUCGUCAGUGUACCUUAUAUGUAUGUAUGUUGAUGUGCUUAUGCACGCCGCCCACCUUUGCCCACACACACACGCCCCCCUCCCUCCCUACCCCUUCGUCAACUCUCCCCUUCCCCUCACAGGUAGCGAAACACACAAAGAAGCGCCUUUUUUGUUCAGUUGAUCGGUUUUGCCCACCGCCUUUUCAAAACAUUUGUGUGGUGCUGCUUGCACAUUUCCUUUAGCUUCUCCCUUUUUCCUUUUUUGUUGCUUGCUUCCUUGGCCCGUUGCUUCUGUCACGCGCCGCCUCCUGUGCUCUUUUCCCCUCCUUUCCCGCGUUUAUGUACCAUAGUCUUCCCUUCAAACCGCUGGAAGAGAGGGAAGGCAUGAGUAAGGGCCUACACGGGGUACGAAAACAGCACAACAGAACGUAAACAAGGCAAGCCCCAAAAGAAAAAGGAGCGUCAUGGAAAACGGCGCACUCGUUUUCCCCCUUUUCUCUUCCUUUUGUUUCAUCACGUCUUUGAUGCGCGACAACCAUUUAUUGGGGCGGAAGGACUCAUCUAGCGCGCGUUCCGGAUCGAGUGCUGUGGCGCGCGUCGACAAUCGAGGGUGCACGCGCGCACUUAUGCCUGUGCCUCACCUCACGGUGCACGCCGAUGAUCUUGUUGCCGGUAUACUACUGAUCUUCCGAUGACAGGGGCACCAUCCCGGUGUGGCAACUCGGGGAUCAGUGCCCUACUGUAUGGGAAAACCAGUCAUCUUCCCUUUUCUCUUUCAAUACCGAACCACUUGUGGUGGUGAUAGGGUCAGAUGCCCAAAACGCAGUCAAGUCGAAGCGAUGUAUGGCUACUGGUGCCGGCGGUCAGGUCCUGGACGGCGUUGCGUUGGAGAGACCUGCGGCAUUGCACACGUGCGAUUAUUGGGUUGGGCAGAUUGUCGGCGUGACUCGAACACAUCCCACACCCGCCCCUCACAUUUCCCUGCUGCUAUGGGGAGCCUGCGUGCCACCCCUACGGGGAUACACGCCAGGUGGCCACCAGUACAAUGGGCGGAGCUGUGAGGUAACCUGCAUGGCGGAUGGGCGGGCAGAGAUUGUGUCAGGGGCCGUACUCAGGUAAGUGAGUCGGCGCAUUCGCUGUGAUGCAUGUGUCUACGGUGGCUUCGCACCACGCGAUGGGGCCUCUGUGGCAGGCCUGGUAACGUGGAGUCGACCUCAUGUUUUACGGAAGAGAGAAAGCGGACACAUGGAAAAGCAAAAAAAAACACUUCACAGUGUUUUUAUGAGCGGAUCAGCCGUGCGUGCCUUGCUGUUUAUUCUCUUUUCUUCUCCCCUCACCUACUUCCUUUCUCUCUCUCUCUCUGUGUGUGAGUGCGUAUUUAUGGUCGUUCAUGUGUUCAUGUGCCCUGCUUUCUUCGCUUCUCUCUUGUGUAGCUCCUCUCAUAUUAACUCUUGGCUCCAUCGGAUCAUGAUGUUCUUUUUUCUAUGCUUCUCCUCGUUAUUACUUUGGUACAAGGAAACACC
rnacentral:misc_RNA from 1 species